UCUCCCCGCGGCCGCCGCCGCUACCUGGUGCCCGCAGGUGCCUGCAGGAGUCCUGGGGCCAGCUGGCCUCGAUGUACGUCAGCACGCGGGAACGGUACAAGUGGCUGCGCUUCAGCGAGGACUGUCUGUACCUGAACGUGUACGCGCCGGCGCGCGCGCCCGGGGAUCCCCAGCUGCCAGUGAGUGCCAGGUCUCCCGCGCCCGCGGUCCCACCGCCGCCCACCGCCCCGCUCAGGCCCCGGCCUUCUUCGUCCAGGUGAUGGUCUGGUUCCCGGGAGGCGCCUUCAUCGUGGGCGCUGCUUCUUCGUACGAGGGCUCUGACUUGGCCGCCCGCGAGAAAGUGGUGCUGGUGUUUCUGCAGCACAGGCUCGGCAUCUUCGGCUUCCUGAGCACGGACGACAGCCACGCGCGCGGGAACUGGGGGCUGCUGGACCAGAUGGCGGCUCUGCGCUGGGUGCAGGAGAACAUCGCAGCCUUCGGGGGAGACCCAGGAAAUGUGACCCUGUUCGGCCAGUCGGCGGGGGCCAUGAGCAUCUCAGGACUGAUGAUGUCACCCCAGCCUCGGGUCUCUUCCAUCGGGCCAUUUCCCAGAGUGGCACCGCGUUAUUCAGACUUUUCAUCACUCGUAACCCACUGAAAGUGGCCAAGAAGGUUGCCCACCUGGCUGGAUGCAACCACAACAGCACACAGAUCCUGGUAAACUGCCUGAGGGCACUAUCAGGGGCCAAGGUGAUGCGUGUGUCCAACAAGAUGAGAUUCCUCCAACUGAACUUCCAGAGAGACCCUGAAGAGAUUAUCUGGUCCAUGAGCCCUGUGGUGGAUGGUGUGGUGAUCCCAGAUGACCCUUUGGUGCUCCUGACCCAGGGGCAGGGUUUCAUCUGUGCCCUACCUUCUAGGUGUCAACAACCUGGAAUUCAAUUGGCUCUUGCCUUACAUCAUGAAGUUCCCGCUAAACCGGCAGGCGAUGAGAAAGGAAACCAUCACUAAGAUGCUCUGGAGUACCCACACCCUGUUGGUGAGGGACCCAGCUGGCAGGGGUGCUCAGUUCGGACAGGGUUGACCUCCCCGUUUUUUUUAACCUAGUAGCUGCUCUUUGCAAAGGGGCUCCCAGCCAGGGUAAGGAUCUUUCUUGGAGGGUCUGGGGUUUGCUGUGGGAUCAGAUGACUGCUUACAGGUAAGGUGCUCAGGGUCACAGGGGCAGUUAUGCAGCAAAAUCAGGGGUUACAAUCAGCAGAGACAGAAACUUUCCCAGGAAGCUCCCUUUUUUCCCCCUCCCAGGCCAAAAACUCCUGGGGGGCUGAGCAUGGAUCCAAGUCACUGGUGGGCCCACCUCUGGCCCAGCUGGCACCCAGGCCUCAGGUAAGUGUGGCCUCCUCACUCAGAAUAUCACCAAGGAGCAGGUACCACUUGUGGUGGAGGAGUACCUGGACAAUGUCAAUGAGCAUGACUGGAAGAUGCUACGAAACCGUAUGAUGGACAUAGUUCAAGAUGCCACUUUCGUAUACGCCACACUGCAGACUGCUCACUACCACCGAGGUAUGCGGGGUCCCCAAGAGUGGCCACACUGGCCCCGUCCACUCUCCAGGUGUGCUGUUUACCAACUGGGCUUAUCGACUGCUCCCCUACCCUCUCUGUACUUCUGGGCUAGUAUAGGAUUCUAAGAUAUCACAGAGGAGGCAGCAUGCUAUCAACUACAAGAGAGGAAGGGGCCAGGCACGGUGGCUCACGCCUGUAAUCCCAGCACUUUGGGAAGCCGAAGUGGGCGGAUCAUUUGAGGCCAGGAGUUCUAGACCAGCCUCACCAACAUGGUGAAAACCCAUCUCUACUAAAAAUACAAAAAAAUUAGCCAGCUGUAGUGGUGCAUGCCUAUAGUCCCAGCUACUCAGUAGGCUGACGCAGGAGAAUCGCUUGAACCUGGGAGGGGGAGGUUGCAGUGAGCCAACAUCACACCACUGCACUCCAGCCUGGGCAACAGAGCGAGACUCCAUCUCAAAAAAAAAAAACAAAAAAAGUAUAAGAGAGGAACUGUUCUUCCUUAGGAACAAGGGCAGGACCUCAAACAGUCCAGAGGAGAAGCCUGGGGUGGUCAGGGAAGGCUUCCUGGCUGAGAGGACAGGCUUAGGGGCACCUUGAAAGUUCAGGCUGACUGGGGCUAGGGGAACAUGUGGGUAACAGGUUAAAGUGGGGGGGCUGGAAAAUGCAGACACCAAAGACCCUUCAAUAUGAGGCCAAGAAAGGAAGGUUCAGAACAGGGAAAAGGAAGGCUUCCAUGAUCCUGGCCACAAUCCUGUGAAUUAGGUUUUAGUAUUCUCAGUCUGAAGAUAAGGAAUUAUUGAUACAAUUCAGAAAGGUAGAGCAACUUGCUUUAGGUCACACAGCGAAUGAGUAGUGCAGACAGGAUUCAAGUCUGCCCCCUUGAUUCUGAAGCCAAAGCUCUUUUUCCUGCUUGGUGCAGGUGAGUGGGAGGCAUGGGGUGGAUGAGAAGCCUAGGCAGAGGCUUUUCCUGCAUCCCUCCUCAGUUUCCCUAUUCACAGAUGCCGGCCUCCCUGUCUACCUGUAUGAAUUUGAGCACCACGCUCGUGGAAUAAUCGUCAAACCCCCACUGAUGGGGCAGACCAUGGGGAUGAGAUGUACUUCCUCUUUGGGGGCCCCUUCGCCACAGGCCUUUCCAUGGGUAAGGAGAAGGCACUUAGCCUCCGGAUGAUGAAAUACUGGGCCAACUUUGCCCGCACAGGAAACCCCAAUGAUGGGAAUCUGCCCUGCUGGCCACGCUACAACAAGGAUGAAAAGUACCUGCAGCUGGAUUUUACCACAAGAGUGGGCAUGAAGCUCAAGGAGAAGAAGAUGGCUUUUUGGAUGAGUCUGUACCAGUCUCAAAGACCUGAGAAGCAGAGGCAAUUCUAAGGGUGGCUAUGCAGGAAGGAGCCAAAGAGGGGUUUGCCCCCACCACCCAGGCCCUGGGGAGACUAGCCAUGGACAUACCUGGGGACAAGAGUUCUACCCACCCCAAUUUAGAACUGCAGGAGCUCCCUGCUGCCUCCAGGCCAAAGCUAGAGCUUUUGCCUGUUGUGUGGGACCUGCACUGCCCUCUCCAGCCUGACAUCCCAUGAUGCCCCCCUACUUCACUGUUGACAUCCAGUUAGGCCAGGCCCUGUCAACACCACACUGUGCUCAGCUCUCCAGCCUCAGGACAACCUCUUUUUUUCCCUUCUUCAAAUCCUCCCACCCUUCAAUGUCUCCUUGUGGCUCCUUCUUAUGGGAGGUCGACCCAGACUGCCACUGCCCCUGUCACUGCACCCAGCUUGGCAUUUACCAUCCAUCCUGCUCAACCUUGUGCCUGUCUGUUCACAUUGGCCUGGAGGCCUAGGGCAGGUUGUGACAUGGAGCAAACUUUUGGUAUUUGGGAUCUUCUCUCCCACCCACACUUAUCUCCCCCAGGGCCACUCCAAAGUCUAUACACAGGGGUGGUCUCUUCAAUAAAGAAGUGUUGAUUAGA
rnacentral:sRNA from 1 species